GUGAGUCAUCGAAUCUUUGAACGCACAUUGCGCCCGCUAGUAUUCUGGCGGGCAUGCCUGUUCGAGCGUCAUUUCAACCCUCAAACCCCCGGGUUUGGUGUUGGAGAUCGGCAUGAGUCCUUCGGGGCGACGCCGUCUCCCAAAUAUAGUGGCGGUCUCGCUGUAGCUUCCUAUGCGUAGUAGCACACCUCGCACUGGAAAACAGCGUGGCCACGCCGUUAAACCCCCCACUUUCUGAGUUUGACCUCGAAUCAGGUAGGAUUACCCGCUGAACUUAAGCAUAUCAAUAAGCGGAGGA
rnacentral:misc_RNA from 1 species